rnacentral:rRNA from 1 species
GACGAACGCUGGCGGCGUGCCUAAUACAUGCAAGUAGAACGCUGAAGGAGGAGCUUGCUUCUCUGGAUGAGUUGCGAACGGGUGAGUAACGCGUAGGCAACCUGCCUGGUAGCGGGGGAUAACUAUUGGAAACGAUAGCUAAUACCGCAUAACAGUAGAUAUCGCAUGAUAUCUACUUGAAAGGUGCAAUUGCAUCACUACCAGAUGGACCUGCGUUGUAUUAGCUAGUUGGUGAGGUAACGGCUCACCAAGGCGACGAUACAUAGCCGACCUGAGAGGGUGAUCGGCCACACUGGGACUGAGACACGGCCCAGACUCCUACGGGAGGCAGCAGUAGGGAAUCUUCGGCAAUGGACGGAAGUCUGACCGAGCAACGCCGCGUGAGUGAAGAAGGUUUUCGGAUCGUAAAGCUCUGUUGUAAGAGAAGAACGAGUGUGAGAGUGGAAAGUUCACACUGUGACGGUAUCUUACCAGAAAGGGACGGCUAACUACGUG